rnacentral:rRNA from 1 species
CCUACGGGAGGCAGCAGUAAGGAAUAUUGGUCAAUGGGCGCAAGCCUGAACCAGCCAUGCCGCGUGCAGGAAGACGGCCCUAUGGGUUGUAAACUGCUUUUGAACAAGAGAAAACCUCGGUACGUGUACCGAGCUGAUAGUAUUGUUAGAAUAAGCAUCGGCUAACUUCGUGCCAGCAGCCGCGGUAAGACGAAGGAUGCAAGCGUUAUCCGGAUUCAUUGGGUUUAAAGGGUGCGUAGGCGGCCCGAUAAGUCAGUGGUGAAAUCUCUCAGCUUAACUGAGAAACUGCCAUUGAUACUGUCGGGCUUGAGUACAGAUGAUGUGGGCGGAAUAUGACAUGUAGUGGUGAAAUACUUAGAUAUGUCAUAGAACACCGAUUGCGAAGGCAGCUCACAAAACUGUAACUGACGCUGAGGCACGAAAGUGCGGGGAUCAAACAGGAUUAGAUACCCUGGUAGUCCGCACCGUAAACGAUGAUUACUCGUUGUUGGCAAUAUGACCGUCAGCGACCAAGCGAAAGCGAUAAGAAUCCACCUGGGGAGUACGCCGGCAACGUGAAACUCAAAGGAAUUAGACGGCGNGAGAGNGCGAGGACGACACGAGGGGAGGAGG